UGGGGAAUCUUAGGCAAUGGGGGAAACCCUGACCUAGCCAUGCCGCGUGGAGGAAGACACCCCUAUGGGGCGUAAACUCCUUUUCUAUUGGAAGAAAACCCUGUUUUUUCAGGGCGUGACGGUACAAUAGGAAUAAGCACCGGCUAACUCCGUGCCAGCAGCCGCGGUAAUACGGAGGGUGCAAGCGUUGUCCGGAAUCACUGGGUGUAAAGGGUGUGCAGGCGGGGCAGCAAGUCAGAGGUGAAAGCCCACGGCUUAACCGUGGAAGUGCCUUUGAAACUGCUGUUCUUGAGUCUCGGAGAAGUUGCUGGAAUUCGUGGUGUAGCGGUGAAAUGCGUAGAUAUCACGAGGAACACCAGAAGCGUAAGCGAGCAACUAGACGAGUACUGACGCUGAGGCACGAAAGCGUGGGGAGCAAACA
rnacentral:rRNA from 1 species